GAUGAACGCUGGCGGCGUGCCUAAUACAUGCAAGUCGAGCGAACGGACGAGAAGCUUGCUUCUCUGAUGUUAGCGGCGGACGGGUGAGUAACACGUGGAUAACCUACCUAUAAGACUGGGAUAAUUUCGGGAAACCGUAGCUAAUACCGGAUAAUAUUUUGAACCGCAUGGUUCAAAAGUGAAAGACGGUCUUGCUGUCACUUAUAGAUGGUUCCGCGCUGCAUUAGCUAGUUGGUAAGGUAACGGCUUACCAAGGCAACGAUGCAUAGCCGACCUGAGAGGGUGAUCGGCCACACUGGAACUGAGACACGGGCCAGACUCCUACGGGAGGCAGCAGUAGGGAAUCUUCCGCAAUGGGCGAAAGCCUGACGGAGCAACGCCGCGUGAGUGAUGAAGGUCUUCGGAUCGUAAAACUCUGUUUUUAGGGAAGAACAUAUGUGUAAGUAACUGUGCACAUCUUGACGGUACCUAAUCAGAAAGCCACGGCUAACUACGUG
rnacentral:rRNA from 1 species